UGGGGAAUAUUGCACAAUGGGCGCAAGCCUGAUGCAGCCAUGCCGCGUGUGUGAAGAAGGCCUUCGGGUUGUAAAGCACUUUCAGCGAGGAGGAAGGUGGUGAGCUUAAUACGCUCAUCAAUUGACGUUACUCGCAGAAGAAGCACCGGCUAACUCCGUGCCAGCAGCCGCGGUAAUACGGAGGGUGCAAGCGUUAAUCGGAAUUACUGGGCGUAAAGCGCACGCAGGCGGUUUGUUAAGUCAGAUGUGAAAUCCCCGGGCUCAACCUGGGAACUGCAUUUGAAACUGGCAAGCUAGAGUCUCGUAGAGGGGGGUAGAAUUCCAGGUGUAGCGGUGAAAUGCGUAGAGAUCUGGAGGAAUACCGGUGGCGAAGGCGGCCCCCUGGACGAAGACUGACGCUCAGGUGCGAAAAGGCGUGGGGCAGCAAACAGGAUUAGAUACCCUGGUAGUCCACGCUGUAAACGAUGUCGAUUUUGGAGGUUGUGCCCUUGAGGCGUGGCUUCCGGAGCUAACGCGUUAAAUCGACCGCCU
rnacentral:rRNA from 1 species